rfam:Rattus norvegicus chromosome 4, whole genome shotgun sequence.
GGGGACUUAGCUCAGUGGUAGAGCGCUUGCCUAGGAAGCGCAAGGCCCUGGGUUCAGUCCCCA